UCACCUGGAAUCUUCUUUGUGUGUGUGUGUGUGUGUGUGUGUGUGUGUGUGUGUGUGUGUGUGUGUGUGUGUGUGUGUGUGAGGAGAUCUCACCUAUCAUCUCUGAGGGGAGGAAGGGAAGCAACCCUGAGGCUCUUGUAAGGAGCUUCGUGGAACCUUAUGGAAGCACGUCACGCGUCAUGUCUGCUCACCUUCCGCUUGAACCUGUCCCCGCCUCUGAAGAGCCUAUAUUUAUUUUGUCUCUCACGGAAGUCCCGCCCACUGUAGUCAGAGAGGAGGAGCAUGGGACUGAGCCACUCCCAUUUCUUGAGACAUCAGAAUUGGUCGCCGAAACACUCAGUACUGGUGGCCCAAGUCCAGCAGGUGAGCCGCCCUCUCCCCUGGUCUUCCCUGAAGUGCUGGUGCCUGUUUCAGAAGAUCAGGAGAGAGACGUGGGGGAUAGAGAGCAGAGCAGAGCGUGUGACCGGAUCGGAGUGGAGAAGAAUCCUGCGAUGGGAUGGAGUGUUGCGCAACGCGUGGAACCGUCGAUAAGUUCAGCAGCAGAGGGGAGCAGCGAAGAGACGGACUGUCCUGCUAAGCAGUGUAAACGUCCAGAGAGCACUAGAAGAGCCAAGCUACAGAUCCGACCCAACCCAGUUCAGAGGAAAAGCCACCACAGUCUUCCUGCUAAGAGGCGUCCAACACCACCGCCCUCAGAGAAGAGCAGUGACACGCCUACCUCCUCACAGGAGACCACGCCCACUGCUGAAACUGUACCAGUAACCAGGACUAAAGCCCCUCCCACUCCACUGCCCUCUUUUCCAUCUCAGCCCUUCACCAUGGACAUGACCACACCUGAGUCAGCCUCUCAGCCUUCCUCCCAAAGCAUUGUGGGACAGCUGGACCUCCCACAAGUUAAGAAAACAGAGGCUGCUGGCAUAGAGGAAGCGGAAGCGAAUGGAUCAGGGGCAGAGUCACAGCCUGUCAGGCAGAGCACCCCUGCGGCUGCGACUGGCACUCUAACGAGACCCGGCAGGAGACCCAGGGGAUUCCUGUCCUUCAUGUCCAGUGCGGGCACGCUGGGAUCCUCGCCGAGCAAACGCACCUCCCAGAGACCUGUCGCCCACACGGCUCGUGCCAACCAAAGACGGGCUGCACCAGGAACCCUGACCUCAGUGGGCCGGGCGGCACCUGCUUCCCAGUUCUGCAGGGUGACCCCCUCGCCAGCCAGCAGCCGGCCACCAGCACCCGCUACACCACAGCAGUGUGAGACCUCAGGCACAAACCCACCUGCAGAAGAAGAACCUACCAGUGUGUCUGCAUACUUCUUCAAUGACAUCUUUACCAUGGUGGAUGAACUGGAGAUGAUGGAGUCAAAAGACUGACCUCUAGAGGGAGCAGGUCGAAGGGCACGCGAGUGAUCUCCAACCCUCUGAUGAAUGGACAUGGAGAGUGGAAUGGAUGUUCUUACACAGUUGUAAUUCUUAAUUCAUGACUGAGCUCAAGUCAAACAUUAUACCUCACACCUGGACCGAACCAGAAGACAUAUAAAAAUGAUCUCCUCAUUUCACUAGUGUUAACCGUUGGAGCGCUUGGUUAACGUGGCAUUCUUAAACUAUCGUGAUUGGUGGUCUGUCUGUUUUAUUUCUUAAUUAUGUUUUCUAAAAAAACCCCACAAAUGUUUUCACCUUUCACCUUUAGUUCUGUCCACCCCAGCAGUUCACCUCAGUGUGAAUGUCUCACCCAGAGUUCUGGUCCCACCUCCAUCCAGCUGACUGUCAAGGGGCCUUUCUCGGCUCUGCCACGUCCGAGGUGUUCACCCUCACCACACCUGCCUCCCCAGUUCCGUGCUUGACUUGUUUUGAAGUUUUUUAACCAUUUAAUGUAUGAGGAAGCUUUUGAAACUGCUGUGCUGUAUGUACAGGUGUUUUAUAGCAGCAUGGUGCAUUUUAGCCUACUAGCAGGGACAGUACUAACAGUGAUUUUCUUUCUUCAGCUUCUAUGGUCAGACGCUGCAUGUUUAUUAAUCUUCUCUGUUAUACACCACGAAGCUUAAUGAACUGGAUCAUAUUGCUUUCAUAUUCCAGUUGUUUGUAUUCAUGAUGAACUAUACAAAAGUGUAAAUAUGUUAAUAAAAGGUGUGCUGUACUGUCACUUAACUUGAUACUACUUGU
ensembl:lncRNA